AUUGAACGCUGGCGGCAGGCCUAACACAUGCAAGUCGAACGCAGUGGGGACGGGUGAGUAACACGUGGGUAACCUCCCAUCAGAGGGGAUAACACUUGGAAACAGGUGCUAAACCGAUACUGAUGGAUGGACCCGCUGUGCAUUAGCUAGUUGGUGAGGUAACGGCGCACCAAGGCCACGAUGCAUAGCCGGGCUGGGAGGGUGAUCGGCCACACUGGGAAUGGUGGACCGGCCAGACUCCUACGGGAGGCAGCAGUAGGGGAUCUUCGGCAAUGGGCGGAAGGCUGGACGGGCAGCGCCGGGUGAGGGAAGAAGGUUUUCGGAUCGUAAAGCUCUGUUGUUUGAGUAGCGGUAACUAACCAGAAAGGGACGGCUAACUACGUGCCAGCAGCCGCGGUAAUAC
rnacentral:rRNA from 1 species